GGAGGAAGGUGGGGAUGACGUCAAAUCAUCAUGCCCCUUAUGACCUGGGCUACACACGUGCUACAAUGGACGGUACAACGAGUUGCGAAACCGCGAGGUCAAGCUAAUCUCUUAAAGCCGUUCUCAGUUCGGAUUGCAGGCUGCAACUCGCCUGCAUGAAGUUGGAAUCGCUAGUAAUCGUGGAUCAGCAUGCCACGGUGAAUACG
rnacentral:rRNA from 1 species